rnacentral:miRNA from 1 species
AUACUGGAUUUGGAGUCAGAAGGCUGGCGUUUGAAUCUAUGCUUUACCACUUAAUGCUGGCUGUGUGACUCAAAAUCUCAGACU